CUAGGAUGGGUGACCUCCC
rnacentral:snRNA from 1 species